rnacentral:misc_RNA from 1 species
GCGUCCGUUUCUGUCCUGUCGUCGAGGGAAGCGCUGGGAUUUAUCCCAGCCGUCCCUCGACGGUCGUGUUGAGGCGUCGUCCGGGAACGGGCGUCCCUUCAAGUGCGAA